AGUUUGAUCAUGGCUCAGGAUGAACGCUAGCGGCAGGCCUAAUACAUGCAAGUCGAACGCUCAGUAGCAAUACUGGGAGUGGCGCACGGGUGCGUAACGCGUACACAAUCUACCUCUAAGCGGGGGACACCUCCUGGAAACGGGGAUUAAUACCGCAUAAUAUGCCGAGGUCGCAUGACUUUGGUAUUAAAGCAGCAAUGCACUUAGAGAUGAGUGUGCGUCCCAUUAGGUAGUUGGUGAGGUAACGGCUCACCAAGCCUAUGAUGGGUAGCCGGUCUGAGAGGAUGGUCGGCCACACGGGCACUGAGACACGGGCCCGACUCCUACGGGAGGCAGCAGUAAGGAAUAUUGGUCAAUGGUGGAAACACUGAACCAGCCAUGCCGCGUGGAGGAAUAAGGUCCUACGGAUUGUAAACUCCUUUUGACGAGGAAGAAAGUGUUAGAUUUAUCUAAUUUUGACGGUACUCGUAGAAUAAGCACCGGCUAACUCCGUG
rnacentral:rRNA from 1 species